GAAAUCAGUCGAAGAUACCAGCUGGCUGCAACUGUUUAUUAAAAACACAGCACUGUGCAAACACGAAAGUGGACGUAUACGGUGUGACGCCUGCCCGGUGCCGGAAGGUUAAUUGAUGGGGUCAGCGCAAGCGAAGCUCUUGAUCGAAGCCCCGGUAAACGGCGGCCGUAACUAUAACGGUCCUAAGGUAGCGAAAUUCCUUGUCGGGUAAGUUCCGACCUGCACGAAUGGCGUAAUGAUGGCCAGGCUGUCUCCACCCGAGACUCAGUGAAAUUGAACUCGCUGUGAAGAUGCAGUGUACCCGCGGCAAGACGGAAAGACCCCGUGAACCUUUACUAUAGCUUGACACUGAACAUUGAGCCUUGAUGUGUAGGAUAGGUGGGAGGCUUAGAAGUGUGGACGCCAGUCUGCAUGGAGCCGGCCUUGAAAUACCACCCUUUAAUGUUUGAUGUUCUAACGUUGACCCGUAAUCCGGGUUGCGGACAGUGUCUGGUGGGUAGUUUGACUGGGGCGGUCUCCUCCUAAAGAGUAACGGAGGAGCACGAAGGUUGGCUAAUCCUGGUCGGACAUCAGGAGGUUAGUGCAAUGGCAUAAGCCAGCUUGACUGCGAGCGUGACGGCGCGAGCAGGUGCGAAAGCAGGUCAUAGUGAUCCGGUGGUUCUGAAUGGAAGGGCCAUCGCUCAACGGAUAAAAGGUACUCCGGGGAUAACAGGCUGAUACCGCCCAAGAGUUCAUAUCGACGGCGGUGUUUGGCACCUCGAUGUCGGCUCAUCACAUCCUGGGGCUGAAGUAGGUCCCAAGGGUAUGGCUGUUCGCCAUUUAAAGUGGUACGCGAGCUGGGUUUAGAACGUCGUGAGACAGUUCGGUCCCUAUCUGCCGUGGGCGCUGGAGAACUGAGGGGGGCUGCUCCUAGUACGAGAGGACCGGAGUGGACGCAUCACUGGUGUUCGGGUUGUCAUGCCAAUGGCACUGCCCGGUAGCUAAAUGCGGAAGAGAUAAGUGCUGAAAGCAUCUAAGCACGAAACUUGCCCCGAGAUGAGUUCUCCCUGACUCCUUGAGAGUCCUGAAGGAACGUUGAAGACGACGACGUUGAUAGGCCGGGUGUGUAAGCGCAGCGAUGCGUUGAGCUAACCGGUACUAAUGAACCGUGAGGCUUAACCUU
rnacentral:rRNA from 1 species